rnacentral:rRNA from 1 species
UACAGAGGGUGCGAGCGUUGUCCGGAAUCACUGGGCGUAAAGGGCGCGUAGGUGGCGCUCCAAGUCUGUGGUGAAAGCUCGAUGCUCAACAUCGAGUCGGCCAUAGAGACUGGAGGGCUCGAGCACUGUAGGGGCAGAUGGAAUUCCGGGUGUAGCGGUGGAAUGCGUAGAGAUCCGGAAGAACACCGGUGGCGAAGGCGGUCUGCUGGGCAGUUGCUGACACUGAGGCGCGACAGCGUGGGGAGCAAACAGGG